GCGACCCUAUAUUAACGGNCGAGGUGAUCUAACCGUGCGACAGGACGCGAAUGACUUGUUCUUUAAACGAGGACUAGUAUGAAAGGCGUCACGAGGGUCAUGCUGUCUCCUUUUUUUAGUCAGUCAUAAUAAUCUCGCCGUGAAAAAGCGGGAAUUUACAAAUAAGACGAGACGACCCUAUGGAGCUUUAAUCCAGUAACAAUUGCUAAAUUACCAUCCCGGCCCCAAAUUUCCAAGGCACAUUGAUUACAAGUUUUAGGUUGGGGUGACCGCGGAAAAGAAAAUAGCCUCCACAUUGAAGGAGUUUCUAACCCUCAAGCCACAACUUUAAGUAUCAGCAAAUUGACAUUAAUUGACCCAAGGUUUUGAUUAAUAAACCAUUUACCCUACGGAUAACAGCGCGGUCCAAUACAAGAGAUACUAACGUCGAGUGGGUUUACGCCCUCGAUGUUGGAUCAGGG
rnacentral:rRNA from 1 species